AGUGAACGCUGGCGGUAGGCCUAACACAUGCAAGUCGAACGGCAGCACAGUAAGAGCUUGCUCUUACGGGUGGCGAGUGGCGGACGGGUGAGGAAUACAUCGGAAUCUACUUUUUCGUGGGGGAUAACGUAGGGAAACUUACGCUAAUACCGCAUACGACCUACGGGUGAAAGCAGGGGAUCUUCGGACCUUGCGCGAUUGAAUGAGCCGAUGUCGGAUUAGCUAGUUGGCGGGGUAAAGGCCCACCAAGGCGACGAUCCGUAGCUGGUCUGAGAGGAUGAUCAGCCACACUGGAACUGAGACACGGUCCAGACUCCUACGGGAGGCAGCAGUGGGGAAUAUUGGACGAUGGGCGCAAGCCUGAUCCAGCCAUACCGCGUGGGUGAAGAAGGCCUUCGGGUUGUAAAGCCCUGUUGUUGGGAAAGAAAAGCAGCAGGUUAAUACCCCGCUGUUCUGACGGUACCCAAAGAAUAAGCACCGGCUAACUUCGUG
rnacentral:rRNA from 1 species